GGAGAUUUGGAGUGAUGC
rnacentral:siRNA from 1 species